rnacentral:rRNA from 1 species
GGGGGGGCAAGCGUUGUUCGGAAUUACUGGGCGUAAAGGGCUCGUAGGCGGCCAACUAAGUCAGACGUGAAAUCCCUCGGCUUAACCGGGGAACUGCAUCUGAUACUGGAUGGCUUGAGUUCGGGAGAGGGAUGCGGAAUUCCAGGUGUAGCGGUGAAAUGCGUAGAUAUCUGGAGGAACACCGGUGGCGAAGGCGGCAUCCUGGACCGACACUGACGCUGAGGAGCGAAAGCCAGGGGAGCAAACGGG